rnacentral:lncRNA from 1 species
CGUGAGUUUCUUUGACCAUCUUAAGCUUAUAUGCUUGAUGAGUCCCCAUACAUUUUUCACUAAUAUCCUUCACAUGUGCCAAGUUAGGGGAGAGAAAGAUGCCAAUGAUUUGGGUCGAGGAGCUGGACAUAAGCACAUGUAGGGAGGUAAUACAGGGGCCUGUUAUUUAAGAUGGAUAAGAUGCUUCAUUUCAACAUAUAC